GGCGAACGCUGGCGGCGUGCUUAACACAUGCAAGUCGAGCGAUGAAGUUACUUCGGUAAUGAAUUAGCGGCGAACGGGUGAGGAACACGUGAGGAAUCUGCCAUUCACUCUGGGAUAACACCGGGAAACCGGUGCUAAUACCGGAUAUAUAAAUUUUGCGGCAUCGCAGAAUUUAGAAAGUUUUUCGGUGAAUGAUGACCUCGCGGCCUAUCAGCUUGUUGGUGAGGUAAUGGCUCACCAAGGCGACGACGGGUAGCCGGCCUGAGAGGGCGACCGGCCACACUGGGACUGAGACACGGCCCAGACUCCUACGGGAGGCAGCAGUGGGGAAUAUUGCACAAUGGGCGCAAGCCUGAUGCAGCGACGCCGCGUGAGGGAUGACGGCCUUCGGGUUGUAAACCUCUUUCAGCACCGACGAAGCGCAAGUGACGGUAGGUGCGGAAGAAGGACCGGCCAACUACGUGCCAGCAGCCGCAGUAA
rnacentral:rRNA from 1 species